UAGAAUGAUAAAUUUUCAAAUGCUUUCACUAGAUCAAAAACAAUUACUGUGAGAGAUUAAUCUAAACAAAUUAGAGAUACCGGAAUCGGUUUCACAUUCAGUAAAGGUACUUUCAUUUGAUUUUAUGUACUUUCUUAUAAAUAUGUGGAUACAUUUUAUGUUCUUGUUAUUGAUUAUUUGAUUAUAGAUAUUUUUUUCUUCCUUUGUUAUUUUUGUGUAUGUUUGUAAUUUAUUUGUAUUGUUUGGAUGUUUAGGCUUUAAUUCCAGAAUUGUAGUUUAGAAGAUGAUAAAAGUAAGAUCUGGAACAAACUCGUUAUAUGGCUUUAUCAUCUUCUUUAGUAUUGGUGCUAAAUCCUCUGAUUUCCCAUGGGAAUAAAAGAGAAAAUCUGCAUGGUUAACUAUUUGGGUUAAGAAAAUAAGAUCCCUAACAUUUGCUUUCUUAUUUCAAAUAAGUUAUUUGUGUUGAUGGAUUUGUUAUCUAAUGUAUUUAACUGUUGGAUGUGCAGAGAUGGUUUUCAUUUGAUAUUUGGAUGUGGAGGGAUGGUUUUCAUUUUAAAUCUGCAUUUUUCUACAUGAAGUUAGGACUUCUUGAAAAGUUUC
rnacentral:lncRNA from 1 species